UAUCGCCAGAAAAUUAGGCAGUGAGUUGAUAGCGCCCUGAACUGCGAAUUUCACCGUCCCGGGACUAUCGUUACUGUCCCAUUUUCUGGCCGAAUAUUCGAC
rnacentral:pre_miRNA from 1 species